rnacentral:misc_RNA from 1 species
UUUUUUUUUUUUUUUUGAAUUUUUCUUACAGGCCCUUCAAUUUCUUCUCUUGCUCUCAAUCUUCUGACAAUAGAAUGUGAUAUACAAAAUUAGGUAAAGGAAUCAAUAGUUUUACCUUAAUUAAUCUUCUAAUAUUAAUUACAAAAAAGUAUAAUAUGAUCUUAUAAAAUAAAUUUCUGAAAACACUAUUUAAGAUCAUUUCGCACCAUGGGCUUUCUUCCAAUCAUGCUCAUCAGCUCAAACAGUG